UUAAAGAGUUCUAUAACUCCCAAACCCAUGUGAACAUACCUAACGUUGCCUCGGCAGGUCGCACCUACCUUGUAGCACCCUACCCUGUAGGGCCUACCCGGGAGGUGCGGGUAAGCCUGCCGGCGGCCCACCAAACUCUGUUUGAUAUUGAAUUCUGAACCUAUAACUAAAUAAGUUAAAACUUUCAACAACGGAUCUCUUGGUUCUGGCAUCGAUGAAGAACGCAGCGAAAUGCGAUAAGUAAUGUGAAUUGCAGAAUUCAGUGAAUCAUCGAAUCUUUGAACGCAUAUUGCGCCCAUUAGUAUUCUAGUGGGCAGGACCGUUCGAGCGUCAUUUCAACCCUUAAGCCUUCGUUGCUUAGUGUUGGGAGCCUACGGCAACGUAGCUCCUCAAAGUUAGUGGCGGAGUUGGUUCACACUCUAGACGUAGUAAUUUUUUAUCUCGCCUAUUAGUUGGACUAAUCCCCUGCCGUAAAACCCCCAAUUUAUCAAGGUUGACCUCGAAUCGGUUCAGACAAACUCGCUAAAUUGAAGCAUCUUAGUCAGCGAAGGAAAAGAAACCAACAGGGAUUGCCCUAGUAACGGCGAGUGAAGCGGCAACAGCUCAAAUUUGAAAUCUGGCCCUCGGGUCC
rnacentral:rRNA from 1 species